GAUGAAGAACGUAGCGAAAUGCGAUACUUGGUGUGAAUUGCAGAAUCCCGUGAACCAUCGAGUCUUUGAACGCAAGUUGCGCCCGAAGCCAUUAGGCCGAGGGCACGCCUGCCUGGGCGUCACACGUCGUUGCCCCCCCAUCUACUCCUUCGGGAUUGCGGGGGGCGGAUGAUGGCCUCCCGUGCGCCUCGUCGCGCGGUUGGCAUAAAUGCCAAGUCCUCGGCGACGCACGCCACGACAAUCGGUGGUUGCGAAACCUCGGUUGCCCGUCGUGUGCGGUCGUCGCGCAUCGAGGGCUCGAAAAAAUUGCCGGGCUCCGGCUCGACUUUCAACGCGACCCCAGGUCAGGCGGGGUUACCCGCUGAAUUUAAGCAUAUCAAUAAGCGGGGA
rnacentral:misc_RNA from 1 species